rnacentral:rRNA from 1 species
GACGAACGCUGGCGGCGUGCCUAAUACAUGCAAGUAGAACGCUGAAGCGAGGAGCUUGCUCUUCUUGGGUGAGUUGCGAACGGGUGAGUAACGCGUAGGUAACCUGCCUUGUAUCGGGGGAUAACUAUUGGAAACGAUGGCUAAUACCGCAUAACAAUGGAUGACACAUGUCAUUUAUUUGAAAGGGGCCAUUGCUCCACUACAAGAUGGACCUGCGUUGUAUUAGCUAGUAGGUGAGGUAAUGGCUCAACUAGGCGACGAUACAUAGCCGACCGGAGAGGGUGAGUGGCCAAACUGGGACCGAGACACGGCCCAGACUGCCACCGGAAGCAGCAGGAGGGAAUCUUCGGCCAUGGGGGGCAGCCUUACCCAACAACGCCGCCGGAGGGAAGAAGGUUUUCGGAUCGUAAAGGUCUGUUGUAAGGCAAGAAAGGGUGUGAGAGUGGAAAGUUCACACUGUGACGGUAGCUUACCAGAAAGCGACGGCUAACUACGUG